UACGGAGGAUUCGAGCGUUAUCCGGAUUUAUUGGGUUUAAAGGGAGCGUAGGCGGGUUGUCAAGUCAGUUGUGAAAUGUAGUCGCUCAACGUCUGCACUGCAAUUGAAACUGGCGACCUUGAGUGCGUAAGAGGCAGGCGGAAUUCGUCGUGUAGCGGUGAAAUGCUUAGAUAUGACGAAGAACUCCGAUUGCGAAGGCAGCUUGCUAGUCCGUAACUGACGCUGAAGCUCGAAGGUGCGGGUAUCGAACAGG
rnacentral:rRNA from 1 species